GGGGGUGGGGGGGUUAUGGCCCUAAAGUUCCCCUUAAAGCACGCACACACAAACGCUCUGCUCUUUUCUAUCCAAAAAAACAAGUAGCCUACAAGCCUCCUCUCUUUCUUGGUGCUUUGAUGUAUAGGUCCUUAGUCAGGCUGGAGGAGAUGCAUGCAUGCAGAAAUGCAUAUCUGCAUGCAUGCAUUUGCACACCGUGUGUGUGUGUGUGUGUUUACGAGGAGUUUAAGAAUAGACGACCCGUCUUCAAAGCGGCUCAACGGACGCCAUGGAAGCGCGGCCUUUGUUUGGCUGCCUUGUAAUUUCUGCCAUUAAUCAGAGUUGACGUCGACCUAAGCUUUUCCGCGUCGGGCCUGAUUGCUGGCCAGGGGGGUCAUCAUCAGCAGACAGAAAAAAUAACACAAGAAGGAGUUGGAGAAGAGAAAGGCCGAGUCCUCGACCCCUGACCCUGGAGCUAUUGUUCUGCUAAUUGAUCACCGCUGAUUGGGUUUAAACAUUCAUUUUCAAGCGUCAGAAAGCCCGCCGUGCGUCCUGAUCAAAGGGAAACGCCCCUAAUUAAUCUGCUGGUGUGCUCGGCGGAUUAACACAUUCUUGGCCGGCUGUGGUCACAGAACAGAAAAAGGGAAACGGCGGCGGGCUGCAGCAGCAGGUGACCCAAGGGAGUUGGAAGAAAGAGGCCGCUCCAGCAAUCAGGGGGGCUUAGCAGUAUUUGCUUCCCUAAAUGAACCCCUUGUCCCAGAGUGUGUGUGUGUGUGUGUGUGUGAGUGUGUGACUGCGUGUCUGUCUGUGUGUGUGUGUGUGUGUGUGUGUGUGUGUGUGUGUGUGUGUGUGUGUGUGUGUGUGUGUGUGUGUGUGUGCGCUGAUCUAGUGUGACUGUGUGGGCUAAGGUCAGUCAUGAGUUGUUACCAUUCUGUUUCCCCCAUGAAAUCAUUAUUAUAAGGCCUUUUUACAACGCAGUAUAAUCACUCAUGGCAUCGUGGAGAGACGCGGCACAGAAAGAGAGUUUCAGUGAUUCGGAAUUUGGUUUCCCUCAACAAUGAAAAGACAAACUUUACACAGUCACUAUGACCACUGCAGAAUGGUGUAGAAAAUGUGGCUGAUAAACAAAGUGCCCACCAUGUGUAGGCACGUCUCAACCCCUUCAAAAUACAGUGGGCGCUCGGGUCUUUUUCAUCUUUGUUUGUCCAACUCGUCCAUCUUUCAUACGUACCUGUAUGUUUGCCGAGCUCUAUUUGUAGAUUUGUUGCUUGCCAGAGGUAUAACGCCUAUGCUUUAAUACACUCAUAACUGUACAAAUACAGCAGGCACUGUGUCAUUAAGUCAGUUCAACAAGUUCGGACCGAUUUCAAUGCACUACCAUUUGCGAAGCUCGUUACGUUCUAUUUUUUUAUCAUAGAGUUUCAUUUGUUAUAACAAAAAUCAGCUUCAUCUCCCUUGACAAUAUUGCCAGCAGCAUUUCUGCACACGCCUUGAACGAGCACUGCACCAGUUCCUAAAAAGCAGCAAUUACGUUGUUGUUUUUUAUAACCAAAAGAAACAAUGGCCAGUUCUACAAAAAGAGGAUGGUUGUAGUCAUAGAUGCCUUUUAACUUUCUGAACAUCGACAAACUGCAGCUAGGCUGUAAUAAUGGAAGCUUUUGCUCUGAAGUCACUUUAAACGUAGCUUGAGCAUAAAGUGCGUGCUCCAUGGAUGCAUGCGACAGAGAUACAGCCAAGUGAGAGAGCGUUACACCUGCAGGGUGUGCAGGGUUCCUCGCAUUGUUAGGCAGGAAGCACCGACCCGAGAUAAAAAAGAAACAACAGCAAAAACACAGAGGAAAUACAGAGAGAGAGGGAGGCCAGAUGCUCGCUCGCCCCAAGACGAGACUGUAGUGCAAAGGUGAAGGUGUUGGAACAACACAGAGCUUAUUAGCAACAACAGAAAAAUAACAACAUGGUGAGUGAGCCCUGCGGUAAGAGGCUGCACAGUGUGUGCAGAGGAAAGCCCACAAUGACGCACAACCUCACAACACGCGCUGUCGAGUUCAUGCACAUAUUUAUGCCACAAGCAUACGUACAAAUGAAGGCCGUCUCACUGAGGUAUAUGAAUUUGCAGCCGACAAAGGUGCGAGGGACCGUUCAUCGCUGCCUGCGGCUUUUUAUCUGUCGGAGUUUGUGUGUGUGCAGAGGUGUGUGUGUGUGUGUGUGUGUGUGUGUGUGUGUGUGUGUGUGUGUGUGUGUGUGUGUGUGUGUGUGUGUGUGUGUGUGUGUGUGUGAAACGAACUGGUGAAGGCAAAGAGUUACUGGUUGUAAUGUAAAUGUCCAAUUCCAUGCUUUAAUGCUGUGUGUGGCUUAUCCGUUUUUCCCAGACUUGCUUCCCCAAACAGGGCAACAGACACCAGAAGCCUACAGUGUGUGCACUCAAAUACUCAAAUACACACAUGAAUGCACGUACAUAAGCAAACAGAAUGUAAUACAUGAACGCAGUUCAGCAGUUGGUGCAUACGAGGCGGUGUAAGUGCUUGUGUACCACUCUCCCAUCAUCGUGGUAACCGAGCGAUGGGGGCACAUUGUCACGGCAGCGGAUUGAGGGGACGGCCCACUGAAUGUGUGUGAUCAGAUCGGAGUGAACAUGUAUAUUUUUCUGCAGUGCCUGAAGCACCGGCUGGGUGGAGUCGGUGGCUACAGGGUAAUUAAGCUUUUGUCAAUACAGUUUAAAGAAAACCUGUGGUUACCUGCAAGGCACAUCUCAGCUGGCUCACCGCGGAAAGGUUGCACUGAGAGAACAAAUCAACUGAGUGACUCACGCGUUUAUAUGUCUGUUUGUUACGUAGUCAGGGCUGCAACGGCGUAAUUACAAUUGCUGGUGAUCAAUAUAGAGUCGAUAUACAGAUCAUCCAGAUAUGAUGUGUUAUUGUUUUCAAUGGAUAAAAGUUAAUGUAAUUCACUAUAAUGUGUGACCAUUACAAAUUGGGAUUCAAACAAGUAUGCAUGAAUAUUAAUGUUCAUUAUUUAGCCUAGUUGCUAGCCUGACUAAACGUAACAUCAAAUCAAUCAUCCUAAUGGGUGCUAUGUUUUCAGAAUAAAAU
ensembl:lncRNA